AACGAACGCUGGCGGCGUGUCUUAAGCAUGCAAGUCGAGCGGCAAGCGCAGCAAUGCGCCUAGAGCGGCGGACUGGUGAGUAACGCGUGGGUGAUCUACCUCGGGGUUGGGGAUAGCCAUUAGAAAUAGUGGGUAAUACCGAAUACGCUUGUCGGGCUACGGCCCGAUAAGGAAAGGCGCUACGGCGCCGACCUGAGAUGAGCCCGCGUCCCAUUAGCUAGUUGGCGGGGUAACGGCCCACCAAGGCGAUGAUGGGUAGCCGGCCUGAGAGGGUGUACGGCCACACUGGGACUGAGAUACGGCCCAGACUCCUACGGGAGGCAGCAGCUAAGAAUAUUCCGCAAUGGACGAAAGUCUGACGGAGCGACGCCGCGUGGAUGAUGAAGGCCGGAAGGUUGUAAAAUCCUUUUGUCGGGGAAGAAUAAGCGGGGAGGGAAUGCCCGCGCGAUGACAUGAACCGGCGAAUAAGCCCCGGCUAACUACGUGCCAGCAGCCGCAGUAA
rnacentral:rRNA from 1 species